rnacentral:rRNA from 1 species
UACGUAGGGGGCGAGCGUUGUCCGGAAUUAUUGGGCGUAAAGAGCUCGUAGGCGGCUUGGCAAGUCGGAUGUGAAAACUCCAGGCUCAACCUGGAGCCGCCAUUCGAUACUGCUAUGGCUAGAGUCCGGUAGGGGAGUGUGGAAUUCCCGGUGUAGCGGUGAAAUGCGCAGAUAUCGGGAAGAACACCCGUGGCGAAGGCGGCUCUCUGGUACGUGACUGACGCUGAGACGCGAAAGCGUGGGGAGCAAACAGG